ensembl:lncRNA HLA-L major histocompatibility complex, class I, L (pseudogene)
AGAUUCUCCCCAAACGCCAAGGAUGGGGGUCAUGGCUCCCCGAACCCUCCUCCUGCUGCUCUUGGGGGCCCUGGCCCUGACCGAGACCUGGGCCGGCUCCCACUCCUUGAGGUAUUUCAGCACCGCAGUGUCCCAGCCCGGCCGCGGGGAGCCCCGGUUCAUCGCCGUGGGCUACGUGGACGACACAGAGUUCGUGCGGUUCGACAGCGACUCCGUGAGUCCGAGGAUGGAGCGGCGGGCGCCGUGGGUGGAGCAGGAGGGGCUGGAGUAUUGGGACCAGGAGACACGGAACGCCAAGGGCCACGCGCAGAUUUACCGAGUGAACCUGCGGACCCUGCUCCGCUAUUACAACCAGAGCGAGGCCGGUAUGAACAGUUCGCCUACGAUGGCAAGGAUUACAUCGCCCUGAACGAGGACCUGCACUCCUGGACCGCCGCGAACACAGCGGCUCAGAUCUCCCAGCACAAGUGGGAAGCGGACAAAUACUCAGAGCAGGUCAGGGCCUACCUGAGGGCAAGUGCAUGGAGUGGCUCCGCAGACACCUGGAGAACGGGAAGGAGACGCUGCAGCACGCGGAUCCCCCAAAGGCACAUGUGACCCAGCACCCCAUCUCUGACCAUGAGGCCACCCUGAGGUGCUGGGCCCUGGGCCUCUACCCUGCGGAGAUCACACUGACCUGGCAGCAGGAUGGGGAGGACCAGACCCAGGACACGGAGCUUGUGGAGACCAGGCCUGCAGGGGACGGAACCUUCCAGAAGUGGGUGGCUGUAGUGGUGCCUUCCGGAGAGGAGCAGAGAUACAUGUGCCAUGUGCAGCAUGAGGGGCUGCCAGAGCCCCUCACCCUGAGAUGGGAGCCGUCUUCUCAGCCCACCAUCCCCAUCGUGGGCAUCGUUGCUGGCCUGUUUCUCCUUGGAGCUGUGGUCACUGGAGCUGUGGUUGCUGCUGCGAUGUGGAGGAAGAAAAGCUCAGGCAGCAAUUGUGCUCAGUACUCUGAUGCAUCUCAUGAUACUUGUAAAGGAACCACUGUCCCUGCUCCUGAGCACAGAUGCUACUGCAUAUACCUCUGAUACCCUGAUGGCCGACACUGGGCCCUGUGGCAAAGACUGCUAUCACUGCUGCUCCUGAGAACUGCUCCACUACUGCUCCUCAGCCAUCUUUACCAAAAUGCAGUAUUUACUGUCCCAGCCUCUCUGUGUCAUCUCAUCCUGAUUAGAAGCCCACAUGUGGUUAUCUAAAUUGUGCAGCCAAAGCCUCUUGCAGUGUUUAACUGCAAUAAUGUUGGGGAAAGUGAAUUUUUCUCCUUUGUAGAAGGAGGUAGUCCCUGCCUUCUAAUAAGACUCUUCAACAUAGGAAGAGAAUUCAGUUGCUGGAGGUAGAGGGGUGAGGGAUGGAAAAAGAAUGACAAAUUUCAAUUCCUAGAAUCAUGUUCUGAGACUAGAACUUUAUCUAGUACAUUGCAGGCACCUGGGUUUGGUUGAGUGUAUAAUAAAUGACAUAGUUCAACUUA